rnacentral:rRNA from 1 species
GACGGAGGGUGCGAACGUUGUUCGGAAUCACUGGGCGUAAAGGGCGCGUAGGCGGACCUGUAAGUCGGGAGUGAAAACUCGGGGCUCAACCCCGAGCCUGCUUCUGAAACUGCGGGUCUUGAGGGCCGGAGAGGAGAGUGGAAUUCCUAGUGUAGCGGUGGAAUGCGUAGAUAUUAGGAAGAACACCAGUGGCGAAGGCGACUCUCUGGACGGUUCCUGACGCUGAGGCGCGAAAGCUAGGGGAGCAAACAGG